GGGCCCGCACAAGCGGUGGAGCAUGUGGUUUAAUUCGAUGCAACGCGAAGAACCUUACCAAGGCUUGACAUACUACAGAUUUCUUUGAAAAAGGAAAGUGCCUUCGGGAAUGUAGAUACAGGUGGUGCAUGGCUGUCGUCAGCUCGUGUCGUGAGAUGUUGGGUUAAGUCCCGCAACGAGCGCAACCCACGUCUUUAGUUGCCAGCAUUUAGUUGGGUACCCUAAGGAGACUGCCGGUGAUAAGCCGGAGGAAGGUGUGGACGACGUCAAGUCAUCAUGGCCCUUACGGGUUGGGCUACACACGUGCUACAAUGGCAUCUACAGUGAGUUAAUCUCCAAAAGAUGUCUCAGUUCGGAUUGGGGUCUGCAACUCGACCCCAUGAAGUUGGAAUC
rnacentral:rRNA from 1 species